GUUUAUUUACAUCUAUUGUAUACGUAUGGUGGAAAUACUAUAUAAUGUUAUGCUACUUAGCAUCUCUUCCCAACUCCAUGUUCAACGAUGGACAUCUCAUCCAGCUUAAAUCAGACGUGGCGGAAGUACGGUAACACCACGGAAAUUAGCAAACGCUGCAAAUCAGGCCCCACUCCCAGGACGAGUUGUUAAACAUUUACCAGGACGUGUGUCUGCGGAAGCCACCGUGUAGGAACAGAGAACCAGCACCAGUGGCCCGGCUAGGUGAGCUCACCAGUGAAGCCGGCAGCGUGAGUGGGGCAGGGAGCCCAGGUACCCCUAGGAGGCAGCCAGACUCCAGAGAUUCUCCAUUGAACCGGGAAGGGGCAUGCCCGAGGACCAUGGUGGAGGUGCGUGGCAGAGUCCUCGGGUCCAUUGCUGCAGAGGGAGGCCUGGGACCAGCUGGAGCCAGGUCAGAGCUUUGAAGCUGUCAGCCUGCUGUCUUUCUUUGCAUACUCGCUUGACAGAGUGUGGUUUGAUGAGCGGCGCAUAUAUCUCCGCCUGGGAUCCAAACCUGUG
rnacentral:lncRNA from 1 species